rnacentral:rRNA from 1 species
AUUGAACGCUGGCGGCAUGCCUUACACAUGCCAGUCGAGCGGCAGCACGGGUGCUUGCACCUGGUGGCGAGUGGCGAACGGGUGAGUAAUACAUCGGAACAUGUCCUGUAGUGGGGGAUAGCCCGGCGAAAGCCGGAUUAAUACCGCAUACGAUCUACGGAUGAAAGCGGGGGACCUUCGGGCCUCGCGCUAUAGGGUUGGCCGAUGGCUGAUUAGCUAGUUGGUGGGGUAAAGGCCUACCAAGGCGACGAUCAGUAGCUGGUCUGAGAGGACGACCAGCCACACUGGGACUGAGACACGGCCCAGACUCCUACGGGAGGCAGCAGUGGGGAAUUUUGGACAAUGGGCGAAAGCCUGAUCCAGCAAUGCCGCGUGUGUGAAGAAGGCCUUCGGGUUGUAAAGCACUUUUGUCCGGAAAGAAAUCCUUGGCCCUAAUACGGUCGGGGGAUGACGGUACCGGAAGAAUAAGCACCGGCUAACUACGUG